rnacentral:rRNA from 1 species
UUGCCAGACUCCUACGGGAGGCAGCAGUGGGGGAUAUUGCACAAUGGGGGGAACCCUGAUGCAGCGACGCCGCGUGGGUGAAGAAGCGCCUCGGCGCGUAAAGCCCUGUCAGCAGGGAAGAAAAUGACGGUACCUGAAGAAGAAGCCCCGGCUAACUACGUGCCAGCAGCCGCGGUAAUACGUAGGGGGCAAGCGUUAUCCGGAUUUACUGGGCGUAAAGGGAGCGCAGGCGGCGCGCCAAGUCUGAUGUGAAACCCCGGGGCUCAACCCCGGGCAUGCAUUGGAAACUGGCGGGCUGGAGUGCCGGAGAGGUAAGCGGAAUUCCUAGUGUAGCGGUGAAAUGCGUAGAUAUUAGGAGGAACACCAGUGGCGAAGGCGGCUUACUGGACGGCAACUGACGCUGAGGCUCGAAAGCGUGGGGAGCAAACAGGAUUAGAUACCCGUGUAUA